GACGAACCGUGCGAACGUUGUUCGGAAUCACUGGGCAUAAAGGGCGCGUAGGCGGGCUACCAAGUCUGUGGUGAAAUCCUCCGGCUCAACCGGAGAACUGCCGUGGAUACUGGGAGCCUCGAGGGAGAUAGGGGCGUGCGGAACUGAUGGUGGAGCGGUGAAAUGCGUUGAUAUCAUCAGGAACUCCGGUGGCGAAGGCGGCACGCUGGAUCUCAUCUGACGCUGAGGCGCGAAAGCCAGGGGAGCAAACGGGAUUAGAUACCCCGGUAGUCCUGGCCCUAAACGUUGGGUACUAGGUAGUAGGCCGGACAUGGGCUUACUGCCGGAGCAAAUGUGUUAAGUACCCCGCCUGGGGAGUAUGGUCGCAAGGCUGAA
rnacentral:rRNA from 1 species